rnacentral:rRNA from 1 species
AGCGGACUUGUAGGAAGCUUGCUCCUGCAGGUUAGCGGCGGACGGGUGAGUAACACGUGGGCAACCUACCUAUAAGACUGGGAUAACUUCGGGAAACCGGAGCUAAUACCGGAUGACACAAAGGAACUCCUGUUCCUUUGUUGAAAGAUGGCUUCGGCUAUCACUUAUAGAUGGGCCCGCGGCGCAUUAGCUAGUUGGUGAGGUAACGGCUCACCAAGGCGACGAUGCGUAGCCGACCUGAGAGGGUGAUCGGCCACACUGGGACUGAGACACGGCCCAGACUCCUACGGGAGGCAGCAGUAGGGAAUCUUCCGCAAUGGACGAAAGUCUGACGGAGCAACGCCGCGUGAACGAUGAAGGCCUUCGGGUCGUAAAGUUCUGUUGUUAGGGAAGAACAAGUGCUAGUUAAAUAAGCUGGCACCUUGACGGUACCUAACCAGAAAGCCACGGCUAACUACGUGCCAGCAGCCGCGGUAAUACGUAGGUGGCAAGCGUUGUCCGGAAUUAUUGGGCGUAAAGCGCGCGCAGGCGGUUUCUUAAGUCUGAUGUGAAAGCCCCCGGCUCAACCGGGGAGGGUCAUUGGAAACUGGGAAACUUGAGUGCAGAAGAGGAAAGUGGAAUUCCAUGUGUAGCGGUGAAAUGCGUAGAGAUUUGGAGGAACACCAGUGGCGAAAGGCGACUUUCUGGUCUGUAACUGACGC